CCUUGGAAGUAAAAGUCGUAACAAGGUCUCCGUUGGUGAACCAGCGGAGGGAUCAUUACUGAGUUUACGCUCUACAACCCUUUGUGAACAUACCUACAACUGUUGCUUCGGCGGGUAGGGUCUCCGCGACCCUCCCGGCCUCCCGCCUCCGGGCGGGUCGGCGCCCGCCGGAGGAUAACCAAACUCUGAUUUAACGACGUUUCUUCUGAGUGGUACAAGCAAAUAAUCAAAACUUUUAACAACGGAUCUCUUGGUUCUGGCAUCGAUGAAGAACGCAGCGAAAUGCGAUAAGUAAUGUGAAUUGCAGAAUUCAGUGAAUCAUCGAAUCUUUGAACGCACAUUGCGCCCGCCAGCAUUCUGGCGGGCAUGCCUGUUCGAGCGUCAUUUCAACCCUCAAGCUCUGCUUGGUGUUGGGGCCCUACAGCCGAUGUAGGCCCUCAAAGGUAGUGGCGGACCCUCCCGGAGCCUCCUUUGCGUAGUAACUUUACGUCUCGCACUGGGAUCCGGAGGGACUCUUGCCGUAAAACCCCCCAAUUUUCCAAAGGUUGACCUCGGAUCAGGUAGGAAUACCCGCUGAACUUAAGCAUAUCAAUA
rnacentral:rRNA from 1 species